GUGCCAGCCGCCGCGGUAAUACGUAGGGGGCGAGCGUUGUCCGGAAUUACUGGGCGUAAAGGGUGCGUAGGCGGCCUGAUAAGUCAGGUGUGAAAUACCAGGGCUCAACUCUGGGGGUGCACUUGAAACUGUCGGGCUUGAGUGCAGGAGAGGAAAGCGGAAUUCCUAGUGUAGCGGUGAAAUGCGUAGAUAUUAGGAGGAACACCAGUGGCGAAGGCGGCUUUCUGGACUGUAACUGACGCUGAGGCACGAAAGCGUGGGUAGCGAACAGGAUUAGAUACCCUGGUAGUCCACGCCGUAAACGAUGGAUACUAGGUGUAGGGAGGGAUAACCUUUCUGUGCCGUAGUUAACGCAAUAAGUAUCCCGCCUGGGGAGUACGUGCGCAAGCAUGAAACUCAAAUGAAUUGACGG
rnacentral:rRNA from 1 species